GAGGGUAUAGCUCAGUGGUAGAGUGCAUGCUUUGCGUGCACGAGGCCCUGGGUUUAAUCCCCAGUACCUCCA
rfam:Camelus ferus unplaced genomic scaffold scaffold1262, whole genome shotgun sequence.